rnacentral:rRNA from 1 species
ACGGCUGCUCAGUAACACGUAGUCAACUUACCCUAUGGACGAGGAUAAUCUCGGGAAACUGAGCAUAAUACUCGAUAGAUCAUAAUGCCUGGAACGGUUUAUGGUUGAAAUGAUUCGUCGCCAUAGGAUAGGACCGCGGCCUAUCAGCUUGUUGGUGAGGUAAUGGCCCACCAAGGCGAUUACAGGUACGGGCUCUGAGAGGAGAAGCCCGGAGAUGGGUACUGAGACAAGGACCCAGGCCCUAUGGGGCGCAGCAGGCGAGAAAACUUUGCAAUGUGCGAAAGCACGACAAGGUUAAUCCGAGUGAUUUCUGCUAAAGAAAUCUUUUGCAAGUCAUAAAACCACUAGUGAAUAAGGGGUGGGCAAGUUCUGGUGUCAGCCGCCGCGGUAAAACCAGCACCUCAAGUGGUCAGGAGGAUUAUUGGGCCUAAAGCAUCCGUAGCCAGCUCUGUAAGUUUUCGGUUAAAUCCAUGUGCUCAACGCAUGGGCUGUCGAAAAUACUGCAUAGCUAGGGAGUGGGAGAGGUAGACGGUACUCGGUAGGAAGGGGUAAAAUCCUUUGAUCUAUCGAUGACCACCUGUGGCGAAGGCGGUCUACCAGAACACGUUCAACGGUGAGGGAUGAAAGCUGGGGGAGCAAACCGGAUUAGAUACCCGGGUAGUCCCAGCUGUAAACGAUGCAGACUCGAUGAUGCAUUGGCAUAUAGCCAGUGCAGUGUCGCAGGGAAGCCGUUAAGUCUGCCGCCUGGGAAGUACGUACGCAAGUAUGAAACUUGAAGGAACGGCGGGGGAGCAG